rnacentral:rRNA from 1 species
GCACGCAGGCGGUCUGUCAAGUCGGAUGUGAAAUCCCCGGGCUCAACCUGGGAACUGCAUUCGAAACUGGCAGGCUAGAGUCUUGUAGAGGGGGGUAGAAUUCCAGGUGUAGCGGUGAAAUGCGUAAAGAUCUGGAGGAAUACCGGUGGCGAAGGCGGCCCCCUGGACAAAGACUGACGCUCAGGUGCGAAAGCGUGGGGAGCAAACAGGAUUAGAUACCCUGGUAGUCCACGCCGUAAACGAUGUCGACUUGAAGGUUGUGCCCUUGAGGCGUGGCUUCCGGAGCUAACGCGUUAAGUCGACCGCCUGGGGAGCACGGCCGCAAGGUUAAAACUCAAAUGAAUUGACGGGGGCCCGCACAAGCGGUGGAGCAUGUGGUUUAAUUCGAUGCAACGCGAAGAACCUUACCUACUCUUGACAUCCAAAGAACUUAGCAGAGAUGCUUUGGUGCCUUCGGGAACUCUGAGACAGGUGCUGCAUGGCUGUCGUCAGCUCGUGUUGUGAAAUGUUGGGUUAAGUCCCGCAACGAGCGCAACCCUUAUCCUUUGUUGCCAGCGGUUAGGCCGGGAACUCAAAGGAGACUGCCAGUGAUAAACUGGAGGAAGGUGGGGAUGACGUCAAGUCAUCAUGGCCCUUACGAGUAGGGCUACACACGUGCUACAAUGGCGCAUACAAAGAGAAGCGACCUCGCGAGAGCAAGCGGACCUCAUAAAGUGCGUCGUAGUCCGGAUUGGAGUCUGCAACUCGACUCCAUGAAGUCGGAAUCGCUAGUAAUCGUAGAUCAGAAUGCUACGGUGAAUACGUUCCCGGGCCUUGUAC